AAACCUCCUGCCUACAUAAACUCCUUAGGACAGAGCCUGGCAUGUAGUGAGCCCUCUUCCCUCUGUAGGAGCUGCACUACAGCCCAGGGCCAAGCAACUUCUUCAGGAAGACAGUGUGGCCUCACCAGAUGCUGUGGUGGGGAGACAUGUGACGAGGAAUCAAGGGGAUGGCCUCUGGUCAAUAUCCUGCAAAGCACUGAGUUCCCUGGUCUGAUGCGCAUGAGGAACUGAAUACUUUAACAACACUGGGAAUUUGUGAGGAAACUUUAAUGGUUGCCAGAGGUGUCUGGACCAUGGAGAACACAGCUGUAAGAACUGAGGUUUUGAAGGACUUGGAUUCCCAACGAAUACACUAGGCAUAGACUCAAGAGACAGAGACCAUUCCAAACAUUCUGGAUUGGCCCCCUCACUAUGCAUGAUGAACUAGCUUCAUGGCUAGAGUGGACACAGGGAAGAUAACAGUUCUGCUCUCACAGAUGCUGGUUUAGAACUUCUUUGCUGUAAGUGAAAAGAUGGAUUAGGUGAUCUUCUCCACAUCUUCAUGUUAUCUGUGCUAAAACAACGUGCCUUGAGCAUGUAUGGUUGACAACUUGAUGGAAAGGGACUGUGGCUGACAUACACAGGAAGACCUUCUCUACUAAAAUCUCAUGCCCAAGAAUCUUAUGAUUCCUUGAACAGUACCAAUUGUGUUUUAUGAUUUGUUUAUUCAUCUACUCAAUUAAUUUUGAUUGUGUAUUGUUCUAUACCAGGAGCUGUGCUAAGAAAUGGGGAUACAUUGUUGAACAAAAGGGAGACCUUAUCCUUAGGGAGCUUAUAGUAGUCAGAGGGAAGAUACACAUUUUUCUAGUAUGAGGAAAUAUGACAAAUGCAAGGAUGAUGGAAGUAAAGAGUGCUAUGGGUGUACCCAGGAGGGUUGAAUAACCCAGUCUUUUACCAUCAGGGAGAGUUUAUCAAAGGAAAUAACAUCUAAUCUGAGACCUGAAGAAUAAAUUCUAGUUAGCAGGAUUAAGGAGAAUAGCUGGUCAGAGGGGCAUGGGUUUUCAUUUUAAAAUAUUCUAGGCAGAGAGAAAAACAACUUGGGCUAAAACCAGCCAGGGAUAAAACCUUUUGGGAAACUGAGAGACUGCAGAGGAGAGGGGAAGAGAAAAAAGAGAGGAAAGCAGAGGUCAGAUCACAAAAGGCCUUAUAAGGAAUAUUAAGCGCAUGGGUCUAAUUAUGAGGACAAUGAGUCAUUAAAUCUUUUUAUGUAGACAGUAUAUGAUAGAAUCACAUUUGCAUUUUGGAAAGAUUACCCUGAGGAUGAAAUUGAUGUAAAACUAGGACCAGAAGGGGGUUCUCUUAGGAGGUUAUUGCAGUAGUUGGGACCAGAAAGGAUGAGCUGGACUUGAAUAGAGACAGUGGGGCUGGAGAGGCAAGACUAUGUCUCUAAGAUGGUUUGAAGCAGGCAAUCCAAACCUGCCAUCCUAUCACAUUCAGGCAGUUGCUGCCAUUAUAGUCCAGUCCUGCCAAAUGCAAGCUGUCAUCUCCUUGUUUGAUUUUGGGUAGGCCUGUGAACUCCCUAGGGGCAAGGAGUAUUUUGUAUUCCUCUGUGUGUCUCUAGUAUCUUGGAGAUGCUCAGGGAUCGAAUGUUCUUGAAUAAGUGAAUCUCAGCGACAUGGUAUUUUUGAUACAGUGGUUGUCCUCAUGACCUUCCAGACCCAACUUUAUUAGGAAAGGUCAAUGACAAUUGUGAAAAUCAACAUCUAGAGCUACUUCAGCCUGCACAUUAAGGUGUGAAUACUUUCACUUGGUUCACUGAGAGUAUUGAAAUACUCAGGCUGGUUUUCCUGACUCAGUUCUCUUCUGCCAUCUGCUGGGACAAGUAUUUCAUAACAUACCAAAGAGAGAGAAUGAAUGAAGCCAGACCCAAAAGCAUUAUGGGGGAAGCAGAGGUCAAUACCUGGACAAGUUUACAAUUUGGUUGGAGAAAGAAGUGUCCCCAGAUUAUCUUCCCUCUGCAGCUAAUCUUGAGUAUUUUCCACAUCCCUUUUUAUUUUUUUUCAUGUAAACUAUCUUAAAUAUAUGUAAUCUCUUUUGGUUUUUGUAACAACCGAAUGGUAACAGCCAUUGUUAUCAUUACUAGUUUUGAAACGAGGAAACAGAAGCAAAGAGAUUUCAAGAAAAUGCCAACUCCGAACAAUAAA